AUCUAGAGUUUAUACAAAAAAUUAAUCUUGUGAAUUGCAUGCAAAAUUUUCAAAAAUGAUUGUAUUGUUUUUCUUCUUGUAGUCUUUGAUCAAGUGUGAUUUCCGUGGUGUGGGAGCUUGUAGUAUUAAAAUUGUGAACGAAUUUUUUUUCUCUCUCUUCGUUUUGUGAUUUUGGACCAAUCAAACGGAGUCAUGGCACCAAUGACCAACCCAUUUUUAAUAACUUUAACCUUUGAAACAGAAACUAUAAAAAUCAAGGCUGAGCAUUUUCUGGGAUUAUUAAGAGAAGAAGUUCCAACAGUGCUAGUGAAUGUUAAAACAAUUAGUAUUCAGACAUUAUUAGAACACUUGACCAAACUUCCAUCACAAAAAAUAAUAGAAUAUCUAAAAUUAAAAUUAAACUUAGACCUCCCACCGGGAAAAAUCGUCUUUAGUAGCUCGGAUUUAGAAAAAGAAAUUCCCAUAACACCUACUCAACAUGAUCAAGUAAAAACCGAAAUAGAAUAUGACGAUAAAGGUAGAUAUAAGAAUGUACAAAAAUUCAAUAAGGCGCGUUUAAUCUAUGAAUUUGGGAAAAGGCAUAUUCCCUAUAAUUACGCAUCAACUAGCUUUGCUAAAAAGGAAUUGAUCAAUAUUUUAAACGAGGAAUAUGAAAAGUUAAAAAUACCUCUUUUAAAUACCUCAGGAAAUGAGGAUAAUGAAACAAAUAGAGAGGGUCAACGGUCCCCAUCCUUAAACUCUAUAGGCUCAGACAAUAGUCAGAACGGGAGUAAUGAAGGUUUCAUAGAAUUUAACGAGAGGGAACGCUCUAAAAGCCCCAAUUCACAAUUCAAAAAUUUAAUGUUUACUACUUUCAAACCACAUAAAAAUUCAAACGCACAUUCCUCACGAACCCAAAAUACACAAAACCCUUCAAGAAAUGAUCACUUCGUAAACAACAUUCAAAAUCCCACUCAAAUGUUGCAGGUCAAAAGUACAUCCAAACGCCCACUCUUUGAACCAGAAAAAUUUUCGGGUAAAUCCAGUGAGGAUAUUCAAGAAUUUUUGACAAGUUAUAAUAAAGCAGCGCGUGUAAAUAAUUGGACAGAAACUGAAAAAACAGAUCUUUUGGAAAAUUAUUUGACAGGAACAGCUCUAAAAUUUAUUAAAGCUUUAGACGAAUCAAUUGGAAGUUCCCUGACCUUUAAAAAGGCAUCAGAGGAACUAGUAAAAACAUUUGAUCCUGUGCAACGUACUACUAGGAUGGAAAUAGAAUUAGCAAAUAUAAAGCAAGGAAUAAAUCAGACAAUCGAGGAUUACUUAAUAUCAGUAGAAAAAUUAGCACGACGAUGUGACCCUAAAAUGCCACAAUCAAAAAUAGUAACUCAUUGUAUCAAAGGAUUACGAAAAGAUAUUGCGAAAGAUUUACUUCUCAAACCUAUGACAACAAUGACCGAAUUAAGAGAGGGAAUCAGAGUCCUCGAAACACGGGAUUAUUUGUUAAAUCAAAACCUUACUGGCUUAGUAGUCCCUGCAGCUCAAAAAUUAAAUACGGAGCAGGAAGAAAAUCAAAAUUCAGACUCGGUAAAAACAAAACAAGAUACAUUAAUUAAU
rnacentral:lncRNA from 1 species